rnacentral:lncRNA from 1 species
UGCCUAAUGGCAAAUAUUGGAAACAUUAUCAAGCUUCAGGGGUAAGAUCUAUUUUGAGUGCUUAUCCAUUCUUUAAUGUCCAUGGUUAGUAGAGAAAUCUAGGUCUCCUGUAGGAAUUUUGGAAGAUAUAACAGAAGAAAAGCCCAUCAUCUCUGCUUUGAGAAAACCGAUAGCUUUAUAUUUUAGAACUCUUUUCACAUACACAUCCCCACAUACACAACCACCCCCACAUACACAGACACACAUUCUGAUGCAUGUACAGUUUUGUAGAGCGUUGCUUUAUUUUUUAAAGAAAAACAUAAUUUAUCAGUUUCACCUAUUGUCUUACCGUUUUAGGUUCCUUUUGUGUCAUUAAUCACUGGGAUCUCAUUUUGCUGAAAUAAUAUUUUUAGACACCUGCCGUGGCUGCCUCUCACCUGAAUGGAUGAAUACAGAACAGGACACUUGGCGUAUUCAGGGAUUUUUGAAGACCAGGAAGGUUGAUGGGACGGACAUCCCGUUUGGAUGUGUGGUUUCUGUGUCUCAAACGCCCCUCCCUCCCGCCUCGGUACCUGGUGAAAUCCA